rnacentral:rRNA from 1 species
GCGGGGGGAAAAAACCCCCCAGGUCUUCCCGGAAAAAAAAAACCCACCACAUCCCGGUCGCUUUCCGGGCUUGUGCUAGCUUCAAAGAAAUCUUCCUUGGGGGAGGUAGUUGAAAAACUAUAAGGAUUGAGGAGGGCCAACCGGGGGCUGCGCUAUUUGACCACCGCGAAAACCCCCCCCCGGGCCCCGUGGGAUGACAGAUUAUAGCUUUCAUAUCGGGUUUUGUACCAGCCGCUAUCGGACCAAUGUCGUUACGAAACAGCCGACCCGCCUAAUCAGUGCGACUUUCCUGUGCUUCACUAGAGGGAUUGCUGCGCCUAGCGGCACGAAACGGAGCAAUAACAGGUCUGUGAUGCCCUUAGAUGUCCGGCUGCACGCGCCUACACUGGCAAAGGCAGCGUGCUUCGCCUCCGAAAGGAGCCGGUAAACCCUUGAAAAUUUGCCGUGUUGGGAUCGGAAAUUGCAAUUAUUUUCCGUGACGGAAUCAAUGUUA